GACGUAGGUGGCGAACGUUAUCCGGAAUCAUUGGGCGUAAAGGGUGCGUAGAUGGCAUGAUAAGUUAUUAGUGGGAAAUCGAGGCUCAACCUCGUGGAAGCUGGUAAUACUGUUUUGCUCGAGUGCAGGAGAGGUUAACGGAACUCCAUGUGGAGCGGUAAAAUGCGUAGAUAUAUGGAAGAACAUCAAUAACGGCGAAGGCAGUUAACUAUUCUGCUACUGACAUUGAGGCACGAAAGCGUGGGGAGCAAAACGG
rnacentral:rRNA from 1 species